GUCCAGGGGUGGGAAUCGAACCCACAACGUUCCGCUUACCGGGCAGAUGCCAUGUCCAGUAGGCUACCCUGGA
rnacentral:tRNA from 1 species